UUUUUUUUUUUUUUUUUUUUUUUUUGGAGAGGGGUGAUAAAAAUGUUCUAAACUUAGACCAUGUUGACAGUUACGGAAGUCUGUGAAUAUACUAAAACCAUGGAGCUGUAUAUAUGAAAGGGGUGAACUGUUUGGUGUUUGAAUUAAAUCUCAGUAAGAAUGUUUAAGAAGGAACAAAUGACAAAAAAUCCAGUAGAAAAUUAUAUGAACGAUGUUCAAAUUCACUCAGAGAAAUGAAGAUUAAGCAACACUGAGAUACUGUUCUCAUCCAUCACAUUAGCAAAAAGUAAAACGUAUGAUCAUUUGGGCUGUGGGGAAACAGACAUUUUCACACAUUGCUGGUGGGAAUGCAAACUGCAAAGAGAAUUAGGCCAUAGCCUAACAAAACUUCCUGUGCAGUCUGAGCAACAACACCACUUUGGGAAUACCUCCUGCAGAUACACUUCCAACAAUGUGAGACUAUAUAUAUAUGCACGAGGUUACUCACUGCAGCAUUGCUGGUAAUUACAAAUCUAAAAGCUUAUUCAAAAGGGAGUGAUUGGAUAAGUUGUGGCUCAUCUAGAAAAUGGAAUACUAAGCAGCUCUAUAAAAAUAUGAGGAAGCUCUCUUUAAAAAUUCAUAUAAUUUCCAUGAUAUACUGUUAAGUGAAAAAAUGCAAAGGAGCUUCUUAAGUAUGUUAUCCUACAUGUGAGAAAGAAGGGAUAUAAGGAAAAUAUACAUGUUCUUUCACGAAAAGCAUGAGAAGGAUAAACUAAAAACUAAAGAGCUAGAUUACUGUUACGAGUUGAAUUGUGGUCCCUCCCACUACUAAACCCCACUCCUGAAAAGAUAUGUUGAAGUCCUAUGCCUUAGUACCUCAGAAUGUGAUCGUUCUUGGAAACAGGGUCAUUGCUGAUAUAAAUAGUUAAGAUGAGGUCCUGCUGGAGCAGGGUGGGCCCCUAAUCCAGUAUGAGUGGUGUCUUUAUAAGAUAAUGACCAUGUGAAGAGAGAAACAAAAGGAAAACACCAUGUGAAGAUGAAGGCAUUGAUGAAAGGUGAUGCUUCUAUGAGCUGAGGACCCUCAGAGACUGCAGCAAACCACCAGAAGCUAGGAAGCAGCAAGAAAUAUCCAGAGGGAGCUUGGCCCUGAUUUCUGGACUUGGAGCCUCCAGAACUGGAAAGAUAACUUUGUAUCCUAACUUGGUUCCUAGCACAUUGCAUGGAAGCCCUAGGAAAUACAGUUUCUUACAGGGUGUAGGUGGGAAACGGGUUGAAAGAAGGGAAGAACUGGAUUAGGGUCACAGGGAUGAGGAGCGAGCACACUUCUCUGAAUAGAAUUUUUUGUGAAGCUCUGACCCAGAACCACAGUAAUGUUUCCCAUACCACCCCCAAAAUAAACAUUUAAAAUCAACCAGGAUGUGGGGGAACACAGUGUGGCACACAGACAAUAAAACAUGAACCUGACCAAAGUGAAAAUAAUAUACCUACAUUGAGAAGAGCAAGGAAGAAAAGAAAGAACCUACAUGACUUUGCAGAACAACAUUUUGGUUGGAUACUGUAAGGUUAAAGAUGAUCUCUUUACAAAUUUUGUACUCCAGUUCCUAAGCUUGUUUCUCAAAGUGCUGUGGGUUAGUAAUUCUGAAAUGACUCAAGGUAUAUAUCACUAUCGAACAAAUAAAUAAAUACACUGUAGGUAUUGAAAGCUACAUUUCUCAAGGUGAGAAGGAAGAUAAAAAAAAAAGGAGAAGGCUAGAAGAGGCUCUACAGUGAUGGGGUUAAAUUUGGAAGAAUUCUCAUGAAUCAUGGUUUAUAAUAUAUAGAAAGAUAGAUGGAUCCAUCCUUCUCCAGUGAAAGGAACCAGGGCUUCUAAGAGAAAUAGUUGAAUCCAGGCUUGGGGCAGGGAAGAUAAAAGAUGAGCCUGGAACAUCUUGCAGUUCCAGAAAAUAAGUUCUCAAAACCUGAUAAAGGGACAUCAGAAGAACCCAGGAGCCAACCUGAAGGAGCUCCCAACAAUGAGAAUGGAACAAACUGAGCAAGAAAAUGAUAGUAUUGAAUUAUAACCCAUAGCAUAAAAUCAAUAUCCAUGAGUCUGUACUGAUAAAAAUAAAUAACAAUGGAAGAGAGGGAGAGUUCUUCCUUACAAAAGCAUUCCAAUGAAUUAAUGUGGGAAAAACUGAGAGAAAUCAAAAAUCAUGUUUGGGCAAACAUCACAGCAAUAAUUGUUGCAAGCAAGACUCACACUAAUGGAUGCUAAAAUUUAAAGAGAAAUGGAAUGUUUGCAUAGUCUUAAAAGUAUCUCCUUGGAGAGAGUAAUUACCAAGGGGUAAAUAGUGACUUUGGAGAAGCCCUGCAGACACCACCUUAACCAGGGGAUCAAGGCUAACAUCACCUAUAAUAAGUCAUGUUGACAGCACGUACCCUUGAUACAAGGCAGUGGGAAGGGCGCAGGAUCACUUACCAUCUUCUUGCCAAAUGCGUAACUUCAAUCUAAUACUAAUGAGAAAACACCAGACAAACCCCAUCUGAAACACUCUACAAAAUAACUCUUUAAAAGAGUCAAAAUCAUUAAAGACCAGGCAAGACUGAGGAAGUGUCAUAGAUUGUGAGUGCAGGACUAAUAAAUCAAUAAUGGGAUCCUAGGACAGAAAAAGGGCCAAAGUGGAAAAACUGGUGAAAUGAAGAUAGGGUCUAUAUUUUAAUUAAUAGUAUUGUGACAAGGUUAAUUUGCUAGUUUUGGUCAUGUGCCAUGGUUAUGUAAAAUGGUAACAUGAGGCUGGAUUAAAAGUAUAUGGGAAAUACUGAUACUAUUUUUUUACAACUUUGUGUUAUAUUAUUUCAAAAUAGGAAGUAAUGUAGCUUGCAGUGUUUAUUCCCAGUUCUACCCCAAAAGUUUUAGUUAUUUCCUACCAUAUGUGUAACCAAUGUUUCUUUUUCUAUUUCUUGAUUUAUCAAUGCCAAUAGAUGAUAUGAAUCAUUUAUUCUGUCUCCUACUAUCAUAAAUGCCCAAUAGUUUUAUAUUCCAAUUUUCAAUUUCUCUGUGGACCCAUUGCUAUGAUCUGCAUGUCUAUGCCCCCAAAACUCACAUGAAAGCCUAACCAAAGGUGAAGGUACUGGUAGGUAGGGCCUUUGGAGUGAUUAGGUCAUGAGGGUGAAAACCCCAUGAAUGGAAUUUGCUCUUAUGAAGAUAAUCCCACAGAGAUUCCCUAGCCCUUUCUAUUAUGUGGAGAAAGUCUGAAAUUAAAAGAGGGCUCUCACCAGACCAGGGUGACACCCUGACGUCAGACUUCCAGCCUCCAGAACUGUGAGCAGUAAAUUUCUGCUGUAUAUGACCCACUCCACCUGUGGGAUUCUGUUAUCACAGCCAGACAGACUAGGCCAGUCAUAUUUACAACAUUAAAUAAAAGCAAUACCUUUAUCUCUUUCAUCUUCUAGAGACAACACUUCUCAGUUUCCUAUCAACACCCCUAUUUUUUCUUCCACCAGUCUUCCGCUCCUUCCUAACUCAGUUCAUCUAACUUUUAGUUUUGUAUUUUGAAGAUUCCUAAUGGUUAUAUUGUGUUUUCAAACCAUUAAUUUAGACUUCCUUGAACUGCCUAUUGGUUAAGUCCAAGAGCUGAAAACCAGGGAGCAACAAUUAUCUUACUAUGACAAGGUAAAUAGGUUCCCUGCUGGGAUUUCUGGCUUCCUGCUCAGGUUGGCAGUGCUUGCUCCAGAAAUCUCUGGGAUACCUUGAAUCUUCUCCUAGAUUGGCUCCAGUAUUUCCUCAGUCUUAUUUUUACCUCAGUUUACGCCUUCCUUUUUUGAGAGUAUGCCUUAUAGUAAAUUCCUAAGAAAGAGAUUCCAUGAAAUAAACUGCUUGAGUCCCAUGCCUGAAAACCUCUUGGCUUUACCCUCUUGUUCAAAUGAUAGCUUUGCUGGCUAUAUAAAAGUUCAUCUUUUCCCCUCAGAAUUUUAAGGUCCUUGGCUUACUGUCUUGCAUUUACUGUUGAUAUUGUCAUUUUGAUUCUUGUUCUGUUGAUGUUCUGUUUAUUCUCCCUUGAAGCAUUUAGAAUCCUCUUCAUUCUCAGUGCUGUGAACUUUCAUACUAUAUCUAGAUAUUAAUCUAUUUUAUAGAAUAUUUCUUAUUAAUCUAUUUUAUAGAGUAAUCUGUUUUUAUAGAGUAUUAUACCAGGUAUUCAGUGCAUCACUUUAAUUAGUGACAUUCAUUUACAUUGGAACAUCAUUCAGGUUUAGAUGCCUUUGUUAUAUUCUUCCUUUCAUAAUUUCCUUCCCUCUGUGUUCUUGGUUUGUUCUUUCGGAAACUCAGCAGACAGAGUUUGGACCUCCUCCUGAAUUGGUUGUCUUUUUCUCUCAUUUUUUAGUGCCUUUGUAGGGUUUUUUUUCCCCCAUCUUACUGUUCUUGUGUCUUAUUUUUGUGUCUUUGUGUGUUGACUUUAUUUUACUUUCUGGGAGGGUUCUUUUUAUUUCUAAUAUCUCUCUUGAAUAUUUAUUUCCACAAUCAUGUUUUUACUUCCAGGACCUCUUUCUUACUUUUUUCCUUUUAAACUAGCAUUCUGGUCUUGCUGUAAAAGUGUGAUGUCGUCUCACAUUUUUCUGAGGAUAUUAUUUACAGAUUUUUUUUUUUUUGACGUUCUCUUCUGCUCCCCGAAUUACCUUUGUUUCCUCUGGAACCAGUUUUUCUAUUUGUUUGACUCUUCUAUUCAUGUUGUAAUUUGAACCAACUGUCUAGUGCUCCUUCGAUUUCUGUUCCCAUUUAAGAAUGAGGGAUUAAGAAAUUGUGCGAAUGAGAGAGGCCUGUCAACCAGCAGGUGAGUGAGCAGGAAACCAGCUGUCCACUGGGCAGUCCCUAAAUGCUAAAUCCAGACAGUUUUAGAGCUGAUCAACUUCAUUAGGAGAGAACUUCUCAUUUUAAAAUUUUUAAAGUUUUUAUUACAAGGGAGGAGAUUCUAGCUUCCAAGAGUUGUGUGUAUGAGAGAGGGGAAAGAGGGUGGGAAUCAGCUGGACUGAUCACCUACCUCCUUGCAUGGGUUGACACAGAACAAGUCUCCUGGGUUCCAGCCUUGGUCUCCCUCCUGGGGAACCUUGUGUGCGUGACCCUAGCAUCACAGGGCCAGGGCUUCCUCCAACUGUAGGUCCCUCUAGGACAUCAGCCGGAGUCUUGUGGGUCAGCUGGUAAUGGCAGCCGCAGAGAUGUGUGGCCAUAAGCCUGUGGAGCAGGGCAGGCUCUAUAAAUAGCAGCGGUGAUUACAGAGUAACACUGCUUUUAAAUGCUUGGACUUUACAGCUUUCCAUUCAAAACAGACCUGGCCCAUGUUUAGUCUCUCUGGGGGGCAGCUGUAAAGGCCACCUUGUUUCACAGCUAAGGAGAGGUUACAAGGCAAUUAAAAUAUUUUUGUCUCUUCUCUCUUUUGAUGAUUAUUCCCAUGCGGUGGCAGCCACUAGAGUAGUUCCUGCCUCCAUUACCCACAGGGGAACUCGAAAACACAGUGGCAGCCACAAGCCCUGAAGCUGGCCUAGUGUGAGCGUUUCAACCUGAAACUUUCCUUUCCUUGGUUUUCAGAGAGAAGGAAAAUCAGGAAGAGUGGCAUCUCUAAUUGCCAUAGCCAGGCAACUCCCACUUCCUUUGAAGGACUCUUUUUCCUCUUUAGAAAUAAGAUUAGAUCCUUUAGGAAUGGCUUAAAUACUUCUUGUGCCAAAGUAAUUAGAUGUUUUAAACUCUUGUGUAGUCUUCCAUCAGAUAAAUGUAAUAAUUGUACAUUUAUAACCACUGGUGUACAUUCUAAUCACAUGCUUAUACUUAGGUAAAGACAACGUGCUGCAUCCAAAAGCUCUGAAUUUUAACACAUAAUAGUAAGUAUCCUGGUCAUAAAAAUCACCAGCAUAUGGAAGGAGUAGCUAUCAUAAUCUUAAAAUUGAUCCUGACAUAGACAGCCUCUUCAGUGUUCCAAAGUCCUCAUUCUGCCAAAUUCCUCAGAGCAUCCACACAGGGCAGGUUAGGCAAGUAUCAUUACCGCCACCCCACCCCCUCUCCCACACAGAUGAGCACACAGAGGCCUAGAGACGUUCUGGCACAGUUAGUAACCAGCACUGUAUUGGGCUCAUCAGACGUCAAACGCUCUGUGUGGUCCCUCCCCCUGGGGCUUAGUGGUCAGUGGACAGCAGCCCAGCUCACAUGCCUCCCAGUGCUCUCUGCACCAAGUGAUGGAGGCUGAUGUUUGGGGGUUCCUACAUUGGCCUGAGGAAUGGAUGCCAAGGGGGAGGAAGAGGAGAGAGGAUUUGGAAUAUUAAGGAUUCUCCAACUAGGCAGGAAGAGAUUCUGCAAAAACCCUUCUCUCUCCUUCUCUCCCCUCCAAAAGAGCAAUUAUUAAAAAUAUUUCUGGGAAGGAAAAUAUUAAAAUGCAAAGUAAAUGCAGUUGUGACUCAAAGUCAUGGAAGAAAAAUGCCAGCACUAUUUUCAGAGUCCAGUGUAGGUGCUUAGGACAUUGGUGAGGAGGCUAAUGGAGCUGACAUCAGAUAUGAAGACCACAGAGAUCAUUGGGUCCAGAUCCCUCAUUUUACAGAUGAGAACACUGAGGUGGAGGCUGUUAGUAAAUUGUCCUGAUGAUUGGGCAGAGCACUGGUAGAGUAGCCAGCAGAGAGCCAAGUACAAAGCAAGUACUUAUAUCAACUACGAAAGUGUUCAGUUGCAAGCAACAGAGAGCUGGCUUUAUGGGUUGGUUUUUCUCACAUGAGUCCAGAGAUAGGAGUGCUGGGCCUGGCUGUUCCUGGGCCUAAACAAGAAAAUAAACCUUGCUCCUCAGCAGCUUAUCCACCCAGAGGCAGAGUAGAGCUCUAGGGUCACAACCCUAGAAGGAAGGCCUUGUUAAGAAACCAUGAAAAAGGAGUUCCUGCUAUGACAGCACAGAAUCCGUGACAUCUCUCUGCAGCACCAGGAUGCAGGUUCAGUCUCUAGCCCUGCACAGUGGGUUAAAGGAUCUGAUGUUGCCCCAGCUGCAGCUCUGAUCUGAUCCAUGGCCCAGGAACUCCAUAGGUCGUGGGUUGGGAAAGAAAGACAGAAAGGAAAAAAAAGGAAGGGAGGGAGGGAUGGAGGAAAGGAAAGGAAAGGAAGAGAGACAUGAAAGAGAGAU
rnacentral:lncRNA from 1 species